UUGUUUCCAGUUUUUCUCUGUAAUGAGCAGCAUGCACUGAAAAGAAAAAAAAAAACCCUAUGACUCCACUGAUGAAUCUAUUUCCUUCCGAGAAAUUCUCAGACACGGAAUUGCUGGGCCAGAAGGACGCACAUUUCCAGGACUUGGAUAGGCAUUGCCAGAUUGCCCUCCUGAGAGGUCGUACCUAACUCCACCCACCACGGUGGAGUCAGCGUUUCUCUCUCCCCGCUGACACCUGCAGGUGGAGAUCCACAGGCUUAGAACUCACUCCAGCUGUCAGUCCUGCAGCCGGACCCCUGAGGGCUGCAGGAAUCAAGUUCCUCCCCUUCCAUGCCCCACCCCAAAGCGCCUGAGAGAGCCCGUCUGCCAGGCAAGGCCAGGGUCCCGAUGCCACCCUGUGCGGCCACCCGCAGACCCUGACCUCCUCCCCUUCCACGCAGGUGCCUGAUGUCUCUCCUUGAGGCCUGUAGCCCACACCUCAUGACGGGACAGCGAGCUUCUGAGUUAUCGGCAGCCUUAUUUCCCCCUACAGCUCCUACGGAGUUAACAGAUGUACGCACGUCUGAGGCAGUCAUGCGGCAAGAGACUUUGGGGCCAAUCCUUCCCGUUUUGACAGUGUGUAAUCGAGGUGAAGCCAUAAAUUUUAUAAACAAGAAUAAACGACCCUCAGCAACAUAUGUCUGCUCGACCCUUCCAAGAUGAAGAAGCAAGUCCAAGGCAGAUGGAACGACUUGCCCAGAGUCGUGAUGCUAGGAAGUAACAGAGCUGGUCUUGGACCCAAGUCUGCCUGAAGCUGAGGCCCAUGCCGAGCGUUCGACUGCUGCCCGCACUCCAGUGCUCCUCACACCACAAGCCUGGGGCUCCGCAGAGCCAGAAGUGAGGCCGCUGGAGCAGGCAGCCCUGUGCGCGGAUUCACUCCUGAAGGAGAGGAUGCACAGAGCCUUCAUCAGAAGUUUGUGAAUCCGUGGAGUGGGAGAGCACCGGGACACCCCCAGAGUUCCUGGGUGUCCCCCAACCUUCCAAAUCCUGGUGUCCCCAACCAGCUCAUCUCCUGCCACUGCUUGCGUCCAAGCACUGUCUUCCACGAUGGACUCCGGAGAAGGAAAGUGACAGGUCGAGGCAAAUGAACACUGCACCCUGGCUGGGCUGCAAAGGGGGCCUCAGUCCUCUCCCUAAGCAAGGUGGGACCAGCCUGGGUCCAGUAUCGCCAGUGGGCCUGGUCUGAAGGGAGGGGUGAGCCACAAAUCCUCCCAAGGCACUGAUUUAUGUAGCAUUCAUGUGGAAUUUAUUACACAAAGGAUCUUAUUCAAUUAAACUUGAA